CCGCCGUUAAACCUCAUCGAAGAAGAAGUGCAACAGCAUUUACACUCCGUUACGAAAUCGAAGCAUUUGUAAAAUUAUCUGUCAAAUAUUUUACUAUUAUUUGAUGCCCUUUGGUACUAGUUAGUUCUAUCAACGGAAGACAAAACACACAAUAAGGCACCCUCUGUCAGGGAUCGGUAUUACACUCGGUGGUAUAAAAGGGAUAUCAAGGGUGCGGCUUGUGAAGACCAGUGCGUUCUUCAGCAUUCAAAUAGUUUUUUACAGAACCUGUGUGAUCACCCUGGCAGAGACUCACCCUAUUCUUCAGAAUGGCAGGACAAUCAAGAGUAUCAACUAUCAAAUAAGCGUUGGCUGCAGUCGCCUGCAGAACAGUGUCCGAGAAGUCAGAGAUUAUGUGCUACAUUUUUUAAAUAAUGUUAUAUAAAUCUGGGAGGGAAACUUGUGCAGGUGGGGAGGAGUACACCACUUACAGGUGAUUACAACCUUUUGCACCUCGGCAGAUAAUCCACCGUUUAUGCUGCAUAAGGAGUCGGCUAUUGGAGGUCAAUGAGGUUAUUCUUGAAAGGCCAAAACUUUUACUGGGAAAGCCUUCUUAAAAUAGAGAGCAAGACAGUCACUAACGGGCUCCUGAGCAGAGAGGAGUACGAGAGCAUCGUCUCUAAACGGACCAGCAGCACCCAGCCUGAGCCAUGCUGAGGAAUGAAGAGUUCACAGGGACUUUUCCUGGGGCAGCUUUGUUGGAGGGGUCCCUCAUCUCCUUCAGACCCAGCCAGACCUAGGUACCUGCAUAAAGCAUACCCCUGUCCAGAUGUGGAUGACAGUGGAGAUGGAGGUUCUCUAGCCUCUACCAGGAGUAGGUAGUCCAGUGCAAAUACUUUUGUUUGUUUUGUUGUAACAUGGAAGAAAUUGAGCCAGUUACGUUUUAGGAGAUACUUUUUUUUUAGCUCUUAAUGAUUGAUGGAAUGUGAAAUGUAAUUUUCUAAAGGAGGAAAUUCGUAAGAUAUUUCCAUUACGUCGGUCAUUGACUAUGUACCAAAAUAACUUAAAUUACCCAAUCCACCCUGUUUUAAGAAAAAUAAUGUUUAUUUAAAUUUGUGUUCCAUUUAUAAUCAUUUAACUGUCAAAAGAAUAAUGGUCCAAAACUAAAUCUACUUCUUCACAUCUGGGGCUUUACUCAACAGCAGCCGACUUUACCUGCACUAAUUCACAACUAUCUCUAAAGCUUAAUAUGGUGGUUUAGUCUUCACACAAACCAUUCAGGUUUAGUAGGACCAGACUCAUCAUCUCUGUGGAUACAGAUAUCUAUGCUUCAAGUACCAUAAUAAUACAGCGUGAUACACAAAAGCCUACAAGGCAGUCUUAGACAGCAUCCCAAAUUAUACCCUAUUUGAUAUAUAUAGACCACUACUUUUGAACAGAAAAACUAAAAGUAGUGCACUAUAUUUGUAUUUAAUUUAACUAGGCAAGCCAGUUAAGGCCUCCCGAGUGGUGCAGUGGUCUAAGGCAGUGCUAGCUGUGCCACUAGAGAUUCUGAGUUCGAGUCCAGGGUCUGUCGCAGCCGGCCGCGACCGGGAGACCCAUGGGGCGGCGCACAAUUGGCCCAUCGUCGUCCGGGUUAGGGGAGGGUUUGGCCGGCAGGGAUGUCCUUGUCCCAUAGCACACUAGCGACUCCUGCGGCGGGCCGGGUGCAGUCCUCCGACACAUUGGUGGGGCUGGCUCCCGGGUUAAGUGGACAUUGUGUCAAGAAGCAGUACCACUUGGUUGGGAAGCACGGCUCUCGACCUUCGCCUCUCCCAAGUCCGUACGGGAGUUGCAUCGAUGAGACAAGACUGUAAAUACCAAUUGGAUACCACGAAAUUGGGGAGAAAAAAAGGGCUAAAUAAUAAUAAUUCAUAUUUACAAUGACGGACUACCAAAAGGCCACCUGCAGGGACUGGGAUAAAAAAAUAUACAAAUAUAGGACAAAACACACAUCACGACAAGAGACAGCGCUACAUAAAGAGAGACCUAAGACAACAUAGCAUGGUAGCAACAUGACAACAACAUGGUAGCAACACAAAAUAUGGUACAAACAUCAUAGGGCACAGACAACCGCACAAAGAGCAAGAAGGCAGAGACAACAAUACAUCACGCGAAGCAGCCACAACUGUCAGUAAGAGUAUCCAUGAUUGAGUCUGAAUUAAGAGAUGGAGAUAAAACUGUCUAGUUUGAGUGUUUUGCAGCUCGUUCCAGUCGCUAGCUGCUGCGAACUGAAAAGACAAGCGACCCAGGGAGGUGUGUGCUUUGGAGACCUUUAACAGAAUGUGACUGGCAGAAUGGGUGCAGUAUGUGGAAUAGGUUGCCAUUUGGGACGGACUUUUACUUACAAGUACACUUCAUAAGGAACAGCUUCAAAACCACAGUUCAUUUGACUCAUGCGCUGGACCAUCAGUCUUUUAGAUAGGUCUUCUGAAAACAUGGAUAAAACAGUAUACCACAUAUACACGGAAAAUGAUUCAAUACAUUACAGAGAGUAGAAAGUCAGUCGGAUAAAAUUGUCUCUGCUGAAAUAGAGCCAUAAUAAGAACUUUAUGUGUCAGUCAGUUUAUACAAGCUAAGUGGCAUAAUUCAGUGAUUAAACCUUCAAUUUACUCUCUUAUUUGGCAUCAAAGUGAGAUUGCAUUAAUUACACUCAAUAAUUGCUAAGCCAUGAUGCGUUUGGUUGGUGUACAACAGUGAGAGCAAUAUCAGCGUUUGUCCUGGUCCCAGAUCUGUUUGGCCAGUCUUGCCAACUCCUCAUGACAAUGGCCAUAGGUAUCGACAAGACAGCUCAAAACUGAGCUGGGACCAGGUGAUCAGAAAGCUGGGGUAACAGCCCAAAUCACUGGGUAAGAUUCAAAGACGUGAUAAUGGCAUCAUGCUCUGGCUUUCAUUUCAGUACAUUUCAUAUCUUCAUACAUGUGAUACAUUUGGCUGAGAUGUGCUACAGGUUACAGUUACACGACAAAGUGAAUGGGCUGAUUACACUGACAGGCACAUAAGUGAGCGUUUUUAGUUUUUUUGGACAAAAUUGUCUAAGUGAGUGAGGCGUCUGUCGUCGUCGUCCCCCCCCCCCCCAGGUGGUUGACAAUGGUAUGCUCCAGCUCUGUGAUAGGUGAUACAGGUUAGGGGUCAAAGGUCACUAGACUGGACUACUUGCUCUCCAGGAAGGUGAGGUUGGCCAUAUGCUUCUCCAGGGACUUGACCCCGAAGCCGUUGCUGUUCUUGCCGCUGAGUGCGCCGUCUUUGACGGGCGUGGACAACUGCCUGUCCCUCCAGCUCUGUGGAGAGUCCAGACUGCUUCUCUCUGACUUAUACUGGAGACACAGACAUAGGAUAUGGUAGUUAUUUUUUUAUAUCUAACCAAUGUAAAAACAUUGGAGAAAAUGACCACCAUUGACAUUCAUCUGUCUACUCAAACCCCAGUAAACAUUGGUUUCUUGGACAACUUGGUAGAUCAGCUGAUAUCAACUGUGACCUCUCACCUUUCUGACAAGUUUAUUACAGACUGGCAGGAGGUAGGUUACCACAGUCAUGAUGGCUCUAGUGUUCUGAAUGGAUGAAUCCACCUAGAGAGACAGAAAAAUAUUCUAAAAACAUAUCAAGGAUGGUUGGUGGUCUUUAUAGAAUGUAAUAUUCAUCCUAACAACAUAAAGAUACCGACUUUUAUCCCUGUGGGGAAAUGUUGGUAAACCACAUGGGAAAGCUGAUUGGCUAAGUUUGCUAAAACCAGCUCUUGACAACCACCAGACAGAGCCUCAAUUUCCUGCUCCAUUAAAAAAGGCCUUUCAGCAAUGACCUUUGUUUGAUUAAACCACCCUGACAGACCAACAGAAGACUGAUCUGUCUGGUUAAUGACAACUUGAGGAGAACGCCAAUGCCUAUAUAACCGAUCCACAUUAAUCAUAGAAGCUCAUUAGUGUGUCCUAAAUGGCACCCUAUUCCCUACUUUUGACCAGACUCCUGUGGGCUCUGGUCAAAAGUAGUGCACUAUAUGGGAAUAGGGUGCCAUUUGGGAUGCAAACCAUGUCAUUCUCUAAUCUCUCAUUCUGACUGUAACCUUCCCCAUUAGUAAAAAGUGACCCAUGCCAGUUCAUCACUGUCCAACUGAUUUUAAUGGAGGUUAAUUAAGCUCAGUGUCAUUAAAGGGUUUAAUUUUACAAUCAUGUUUUCAUGAUUGACCUCUGUAAACCAGUAACAAAUGUUUGCCCAAUGCUGCCAAUGCUGAUGAAUGGGUUGACUUUCUGUUCUUUUUCAUUGCAGUUUAUCAAUACUCCUUGUCAGUUUCGUUUCUGUGCAUCGUCUCACUCUUCUCUAUAACCACACCUUUUGUCACAUGAUAGAACUGUAUUCAUAAUAAUAGAACCUGCCAGUCAAUAUCUGUAUGACUGAUACUCAUUAUUUUGCUGAAAAUUUGAACUAAGAACUUCUAAUAAAAGUGGAUUUUAUUACACAAACAAAUACAGUCAUUGACAACUAAGGCCUGUCACUUAGGAAUGUCCUUGUUUUUUAAAGAAAAUAAAUGUUUUGUCCAUUAAAAUAACAUCACAUUGAUCAGAAAUACAUUGUUAAUAUUGUAAAUGACUAUUGUAGCUGGAAAUGGCAGAGGCCUGUUAUCGUAAAGAGGCCCAUUAUCAGCAACCAUCACUCCUGUGUUCCAAUGGCAUGUUGUUAGCUAAUCCAAGUUUAUCAUUUUAAAAGGCUAAUUGAUCAUUAGAAAACCCGUUUGCAAUUAUGUUAGCACAGCUGAAAAUGUUGUUCUGAUUAAAGAAGCAAUGAAACUGUC